GCUCAGAUGGCGGAAUUGGUAUACGCGCAGCCUUGAGGUGGCUGUGGGAGCAAUCCCGUGCAGGUUCAAGUCCUGUUCUGAGCA
rnacentral:tRNA from 1 species